rnacentral:lncRNA from 1 species
CGCUGGAGUUGAUGCAGGGUAAUCAGGUUGUCCCACGUGAGGCUCACAGUCUUCAUCCCCAUUUUACAGAUGAGGUCACUGAGGCCCAGAGAAGUGAAGUGACUUGCCCACAGUCACACUGCUAACUGGCAGAGUGGGAUUCGAACCCCUAACCUCUGACUCCCAAGCCCGGAUUCUUUCCACUGAGCCACGCUGCUUCCCUAUUAAACCAUCAUUAUUAUUAUUAUUGUUGUAUUGAUGUCUGUCUCCCCACCUCUACACGGUGAACUCGGUGUGGGCAGGGACUGCCACUCUAUUGCUGUGUUACCUUGCUGUGCACACAAUAAGCCAUGAAUGAAUGAAUGAAUGAAUGAAUGAAUGAAUGGGUGUGCGGCAGGCCUCCUUCUCUUAAGGUGAGACCCCGCCCCCGCCUCGCGGCCGCUCUCAACUCCCAACACGCAUGCGCCCUGACUCAUUCCUCCUCCCCCCGCGACGCGCAUGCGCCCCGACUCAUUCCUUCCCCCUUCGCGACGCGCAUGCGCCCCGACUCAUUCCUCCCCCCUUCGCGACGCGCAUACGCCCCGAGCUCAUUUCCCCCCCCCCUCUUCGCGCCGCGCAUGCGCCCAGCUUCACCGGCUCCUCUCCCUCUUGGCCGCCCUCCCCCCACCACAGGAUCCGAGGGAACCCGCGGGCUGAUGGAGCGGCUCUAAACCGAGGCCGUCUCCGUGUCAGGGGCGGGCGGCGUCCCCGGGAUUCCGCCGCUUCCCGGGAAGCGCCCUCCCUCUCCCCCCCUUCCUCCCCCCGCCACCAUCCCCGCACGUACCUCCACACACCGCCUGCCUCAGCCGAGGGGCGCUGUUCCGGGUGCUUCUGCGCUUGCGCGGACCGAGCCGUCGGGCGCGGGGGCGCGCGUCCGCCAGGCGCACGGGCCGCGGCUCCUGGCCUGGGAGGCUGGGCCCCCGACGCGCGCUCCCGACGCGCGCCCCCGCCCCAGAGGCCUGGAGUCGGUCGCCCUCCGGCUUCGGCAGCCUUUUCUCUCCCCCAGGCGGUGGGCUAGAAACCUCUGCCUUCAAACACCGACCACGGUCGGCCCCGACCCGAGACUGAGCUCUGCGGCCUGCGUCGCGACCGCCCUUCCGGGCCUCGACAGGAGAGGCCUCAGCACGCCGUUUGGUGCGAAUGGUGAGUUGGAGGCAUUGGAGGUGAAAAUG